rnacentral:rRNA from 1 species
UACGAAGGAUGCAAGCGUUAUCCGGAUUCACUGGGCUUAAAGGGUGUGCAGGUGGGGUAAUAAGUCAGUGGUGAAAGCCCCCGACUCAAUCGGGGAACUGCCAUAGAUACUGUUAUUCUUGAGUGUAGUUGAGGCAGAUGGAAUAUGACAUGUAGCAGUGAAAUGCUUAGAUAUGUCAUAGAACACCGAUCGCGAAGGCAGUCUGCCAAACUAUUACUGACACUGAAACACGAAAGUGCGGGGAGCAAACAGG